GCCACCAUCGCAUAAUGGUAUUGCACCGCGUUGCUAACGCGGGCCCUUCGGGGCUCCCCGGUUCGAUUCCGGGUGGUGGCG
rnacentral:tRNA from 1 species